GAAGUUAUAAAGAGGCACAAGAUUCAGAGGCAUGGUGAAUCCGUAAAACUUCAAAUGUGUUUUGAAUCAAAAAGUAAGUUUGCAUCCAUAGCACGAAGGGUCGACACUCGAGUACAUUUUUCACAGCAAUUUUACAGAAACACUGGACUAAACAAAAACAAAAAACUUUUUCUACAUUUGUAAAUAACACGUGAUGGAAGACAAGCCCAUUCGCCAAAACAUGAUGCUCUGUCUCAAAGCAACAUUUUUUGGUCACUCUUCUCCAAGUCAUCCGGAAGGAUUUCAUAAAUUCAGAUCAAUGAAAUCCUGCACAAGUUCAGCAACCACAUUCAGUAGCCAACAGCCAAAACAACCAGGUCAUAGCAGGCUCGGUCUGCUGGAUAAACUCCAGUUGUGGUACCAUUUCUGGUACAGAAUAGAGAUUACCGAGCCAUCAGAUUCAUCCACCGCAGAGCAGCAGGAAUUCACAUCAACCACAGCAGAGCAGCAGGAUUUCAUAAGUUCGGAUUGAUAAUAUCAUGCAGCAGUACAUAAACCAUCAUCCAGCAAAGGUGACAACAGCCAACUGCCACGGCACGGAAGAUUCAACGCAGC
rnacentral:lncRNA from 1 species